ACUCAAAUGAAUUGACGGGGGCCCGCACAAGCAGUGGAUCAUGUGGUUUAAUUCGACGCUACGCGAAGAACCUUACCUAGGCUCGAACGACUGGUGGUAGUCCUGAUGAAAGUCGGGGCGACCCGCAAGGGAGCCAGCCGAGGUGCUGCAUGGCUGUCGUCAGCUCGUGUCGUGAGAUGUUGGGUUAAGUCCCGCAACGAGCGCAACCCUUGUCCUGUGUUGCUACCCCGCAAGGGGAGGACUCUCAGGAGACUGCCGUGGAUAACACGGAGGAAGGUGGGGACGACGUCAAGUCAUCAUGGCCUUUAUGUCUAGGGCUACACACGUGAUACAAUGGUGCAGACAGAAGGUUGCAAUACCGUAAGGUGGAGCCAAUCCCUAAACUGCACCCUAGUUCAGAUCGAGGGCUGCAAUUCGCCCUCGUGAAGCUGGAAUUGCUAGUAAUCGCAGAUCAGCAGGCUGCGGUGAAUACGUUCCCGGGCCUUGUACACACCGCCCGU
rnacentral:rRNA from 1 species